AGAACGAACGCUGGCGGCAGGCUUAACACAUGCAAGUCGAACGCUCCGCAAGGAGAGUGGCAGACGGGUGAGUAACGCGUGGGAAUCUACCUAGUUCUACGGAACAACAGUUGGAAACGACUGCUAAUACCGUAUACGCCCUACGGGGGAAAGAUUUAUCGGAAUUAGAUGAGCCCGCGUAAGAUUAGCUAGUUGGUGGGUAAUGGCCUACCAAGGCGACGAUCUUUAGCCGGUCUGAGAGGAUGAUCAGCCACACUGGGACUGAGACACGGCCCAGACUCCUACGGGAGGCAGCAGGUGGGGAAUAUUGGACAAGUGGGCGACAAGGCCUGGAUCCAAGCCAUGCCGCGUGAGUGAUGGAGGCUUAGGGUUAGUAAGCUACUUCGAGGUAGGGAAGUAUAA
rnacentral:rRNA from 1 species